AUUGAACGCUGGCGGCAUGCCUAACACAUGCAAGUCGAACGGUAACAGGCCCUUCGGGCGCUGACGAGUGGCGGACGGGUGAGUAAUGCUUAGGAAUCUGCCUAGUAGUGGGGGAUAACCCGGGAAACUCGGGCUAAUACCGCAUACGUCCUACGGGAGAAAGCGGGGGACCUUCGGCCGUCGCGCUAUUAGAUGAGCCUAAGUCCGAUUAGCUAGUUGGUAGGGUAAUAGCCUACCAAGGCGACGAUCGGUAGCUGGUCUGAGAGGACGACCAGCCACACUGGGACUGAGACACGGCCCAGACUCCUACGGGAGGGCAGCAGUGGGGAAUAUUGGACAAUGGCGCAAGCCUGAUCCAGCGAUGCCGCGUGUGUGAAG
rnacentral:rRNA from 1 species